rnacentral:tRNA from 2 species
GGGUUUGUAGCUCAGCCGGUUAGAGCACUGUGUUGAUAACGCAGGGGUCGUAGGUUCGAGUCCUACCAGACCCACCA